rnacentral:rRNA from 1 species
CCUACGGGAGGCUGCAGUGGGGAAUAUUGCGCAAUGGGCGAAAGCCUGACGCAGCGACGCCGCGUGAGGGAUGAAGGUCUUCGGAUCGUAAACCUCUGUCAGCAGGGAAGAAAAGUCACUGUUCUAAUCAGCAUUGCAUUGCCGGUACCGGCAAAGGAAGCACCGGCUAACGCCGUGCCAGCAGCCGCUGUAAUACGGAGGGUGAUAGCGUUAAUCGGAUUUACUGGGCGUAAAGGGAUCGUAGGCGGUAUGUCAAGUCACGAGUGAAAUCCCGGCGCUCACCGGGGGAACUGCAUUUGAAACUGGCAAACUGGAGUGUGUGAGAGGUAAGUGGAAUUCCAGGUGUAGGAGUGAAAUGCGUAGAUAUCUGGAGGAACAGCAGUGGCGAAGGCGACUAUCUGGCACAUAACUGACGCUGAGGAGCGAAAGCGUGGGUAGCAAACAGGAUUAGAUACCCGAGUAGUC